GAUGAACGCUGGCGGCGUGCCUAAUACAUGCAAGUCGAGCGAACGGACGAGAAGCUUGCUUCUCUGAUGUUAGCGGCGGACGGGUGAGUAACACGUGGAUAACCUACCUAUAAGACUGGGAUAACUUCGGAAAACCGGAGCUAAUACCGGAUAAUAGUUUGAACCGCAUGGUUCAAAAGUGAAAGACGGUCUUGCUGUCACUUAUAGAUGGAUCCGCGCUGCAUUAGCUAGUUGGUAAGGUAACGGCUUACCAAGGCAACGAUGCAUAGCCGACCUGAGAGGGUGAUCGGCCACACUGGAACUGAGACACGGUCCAGACUCCUACGGGAGGCAGCAGUAGGGAAUCUUCCGCAAUGGGCGAAAGCCUGACGGAGCCACGCCGCGUGAGUGAUGAAGGUCUUCGGAUCGUAAAACUCUGUUAUUAGGGAAGAACAUAUGUGUAAGUAACUGUGCACAUCUUGACGGUACCUACUCAGAAAGCCCCGGCUAACUCCGUG
rnacentral:rRNA from 1 species